CCCUGCCAUUUGUACACACCGCCCGUCGCUACUACCGAUUGAGUGUUUUAGUGAGGUCCUCGGAUUGCUGGCCUGGCUGCCUUCACGGGUAGCCUAGCCGGCGAGAAGACGACCAAACUGAUGCACUUAGAGGAAGUAAAAGUCGUAACA
rnacentral:rRNA from 1 species